rnacentral:misc_RNA from 1 species
CAUACGAGGACAUUCUUUUAAAGGUAAAUCUAUCCCUCUCUCCCUCUUUCUCAUAAGAAUUAUUCAUGAAUGCCAAAUCUGUUAACUAAAGGCAUACCAUGGCUUUUUUGUUUUCAAAUAUAGAUGUAUACCUACUAAUCUAAAAUAUUGUGUGUGUGUGUGCAUGCCAUAUACGUAUGAGACAAUAUUUAAAUGUAACAUGUCAAGAAUAUUACACCAUAAGAGUCGGAACAACAACGAAUUUCUAUAUAAGAAGAGAAGGGGCAAAAGUAAUUAAAGUUCAUGAGAUGGAGACAUAUGCAUUGGGUAAAAUGUGAGAAAAAGCGACUAGGCAUGGUUUCACACAUGCAUAAAAGAGCAAUUACUCCACCAGUAAGCCUAGGAAAGUGAAUAUUCGAAAGAGUACUACAGUGAUGAGGAAAAGUGAUGCUGCUAGCACUAGCAGAAAGCUCUGCUGGAUAUAGUAUCCUAAAUAAGUGUAUAAAGACAUGUUUCAUUAUUAAACAUUUAAGUGAGAUUGGAUAGGGCAAAAUUGGUUGUGUAUAGUCACAUAUAUAGCUGUGAUGAAUCUUUGUUAACAUAUGUCAUGUAGGCAAGGAUGAGUUGAAUCAGGUCCAAUUGUCAUUGUGCCUUGUUUUGGAAUCCUUAAGAGCAGUGACUGUAAUGAUAAUGUCUUGGUCUGGAAUCUUUAUUAUUAUAUAUAUUCUUUAUCAUAUAAAUUUAUAUAAUGGAG